UCUGCACUAUAGCCAUUUGCCCCAAUUUAAGUUUAGAAAUUACCAGUUUCAGUAAUAGCUGAAUCACUGGUUUUCUCAAUAGCUGAGAUUGGAAGAGGGUC